rnacentral:rRNA from 1 species
CGGUGGAUGCCUAGGCAUGCAGAGGCGAAGAAGGACGUGUAAAGCUGCGAUAAGCUGCGGGGAGUUGCAAAAGAACUGUGAUCCGCGGAUUUCCGAAUGGGGCAACCCACUCUAAGUUAAAUUAGGGUAUCCUUUCGAGGAGGCAUACCCGGGGAACUGAAACAUCUAAGUACCCGGAGGAAAAGAAAUCAACCGAGAUUCCCCAAGUAGCGGCGAGCGAACGGGGACCAGCCCUUAAGCGAUACAACUGACAGACGAACAAGCUGGGAAGCUUGACGAUACAGGGUGAUAGUCCCGUAGUCGAAGUCUGAGUAUCGUGAAAUCGAGUAGGUCGGGGCACGAGAAACCUUGACUGAACAUGGGGGGACCAUCCUCCAAGGCUAAAUACUCCUGGCUGACCGAUAGUGAACCAGUACCGUGAGGGAAAGGCGAAAAGAACCCCGGCGAGGGGAGUGAAAUAGAUCCUGAAACCGUAUGCGUACAAGCAGUGGGAGCACCUUCGUGGUGUGACCGCGUACCUUUUGUAUAAUGGGUCAGCGACUUAUAUUCUGUGGCGAGCUUAACCGUAUAGGGGAGGCGUAGCGAAAGCGAGUCUUAACUGGGCGACCAGUCGCAGGGUAUAGACCCGAAACCGGGCGAUCUAUCCAUGGCCAGGGUGAAGAUUGAGUAACAUCAAUUGGAGGCCCGAACCCAAGUAUGUUGAAAAAUGCUGGGAUGAGCUGUGGAUCGGAGUGAAAGGCUAAUCAAGCCCGGAGAUAGCUGGUUCUCCUCGAAAGCUAUUUAGGUAGCGCCUCACGUAUCACCGCUGGGGGUAGAGCACUGUUUCGGCUAGGGGGUCAUCCCGACUUACCAACCCGAGGCAAACUCCGAAUACCAGUGAGUGCAGCGUGGGAGACACACAGCGGGUGCUAACGUCCGUUGUGAAAAGGGAAACAACCCAGACCGUCAGCUAAGGUCCCAAAAUCCUGAUUAAGUGGGAAACGAUGUGGGAAGGCUCAGACAGCUAGGAGGUUGGCUUAGAAGCAGCCAUCCUUUAAAGAAAGCGUAAUAGCUCACUAGUCGAGUCGGCCUGCGCGGAAGAUAUAACGGGGCUAAAUCAGGUACCGAAGCUACGGGUUCAUCCUUAUGGAUGAGCGGUAGAGGAGCGUCGUGUAAGCCAAUGAAGGUGGAUUGAGAAGUCUGCUGGAGGUAUCACGAGUGCGAAUGCUGACAUGAGUAACGAUAAGGGGAGUGAAAAACUCCCCCGCCGGAAGACCAAGGUUUUCUGUUCUACGUUAAUCGGAGCAGAGUGAGUCGGCCCCUAAGGCGAGGCGGAAACGCGUAGUCGAUGGGAAACGGGUUAAUAUUCCCGUACCGGAUGUGGUUGCGAUGGGGGGACGAAGAAGGCUAGGUGAGCCAGGCGUUGGUUGUCCUGGUGAAAGCAUGUAGGCCGAGGAAUCAGGCAAAUCCGGUUCCUCUGAGGUCGAGAUGCGAGACGAACUGACCACGGUCAGGAAGUCAUCGAUGCCACGCUUCCAGGAAAAGCCUCUAAGCUUCAGAUCACAUGCGACCGUACCCCAAACCGACACAGGUGGUCAGGUAGAGAAUACCAAGGCGCUUGAGAGAACUCGGGUGAAGGAACUAGGCAAAAUGGCACCGUAACUUCGGGAGAAGGUGCACCGGUUCGAGUGAAGGACUUGCUCCGUAAGCUCUUACCGGUCGAAGAUACCAGGUGGCUGCAACUGUUUAUUAAAAACACAGCACUCUGCAAACGCGCAAGCGGACGUAUAGGGUGUGACGCCUGCCCGGUGCCGGAAGGUUAAGAGGAGGUGUGCAAGCACCGAAUUGAAGCCCCGGUAAACGGCGGCCGUAACAAUAACGGUCCUAAGGUAGCGAAAUUCCUUGUCGGGUAAGUUCCGACCUGCACGAAUGGCGUAACGACUUCCCCACUGUCUCCAGCAUAGACUCAGCGAAAUUGAAUUCUCCGUGAAGAUGCGGAGUACCCGCGGUCAGACGGAAAGACCCCGUGCACCUUUACUACAGCUUCAGAGUGGUAUUAGGGAUAACAUGUGUAGCAUAGGUGGGAGGCUUUGAAGCCGGGACGCCAGUCCUGGUGGAGCCACCCUUGAAAUACCACCCUUGUUGUUCCUGAUAUCUAACCACGUCCCGUGAACCCGGGACUGGGACCCUCUGUGGCGGGUAGUUUGACUGGGGCGGUCGCCUCCUAAAGAGUAACGGAGGCUCCCAAAGGUACCCUCAGCACGGAUGGCAAUCGUGCGUAGAGUGUAAAAGCAUAAGGGUGCUUGACUGCGAGACAGACACGUCGAGCAGGUACGAAAGUAGGUUCUAGUGAUCCGGUGGUUCUGUAUGGAAGGGCCAUCGCUCAACGGAUAAAAGGUACUCCGGGGAUAACAGGCUGAUACCGCCCAAGAGUUCAUAUCGACGGCGGUGUUUGGCACCUCGAUGUCGGCUCAUCUCAUCCUGGGGCUGGAGCAGGUCCCAAGGGUAUGGCUGUUCGCCAUUUAAAGUGGUACGCGAGCUGGGUUUAGAACGUCGUGAGACAGUUCGGUCCCUAUCUGCCGUGGGCGUCGGAAGUUUGAGAAGAGCUGCUCCUAGUACGAGAGGACCG